rnacentral:lncRNA from 1 species
UUGAAAUAUAACAAAAUAUUUGCAUAGCAUUAUUAGAUAAAUGGGAGCUGACUGGAGGCAGAGCUCAUUUGGAAAUCCGAUAUGAAAAUUCAUUUAAAAUGAAAGAAUAUGGAAGCUUAAGUUUAUGGUAAUGGACUGAUGGCAGGGAGUAGCUAAUGACUCCCAACAAACAUGUCUCAGCCACGAGAUCUCCUUCCCCUGCGUGGCUGCUGCCCUCCGCACGCUCCUGCCUUCGCUGGCUCCUGUGCAGAGGAUGGGAGCGCCUGACGCUGAUGCUGUUAGCAAAACCCUGACUUUUAGGGGUGAAAUGGCUGUCAGGUCUGAGCCGGCCCGGGAUGGAGAAGGGCAGAGCCAGCAGGGCACAGGGACGGGGCAGCUGGGCACGGGAAGGGAUUUAGAUGGGUUUAAUUCCCAUCUCCCGAUGCUAAAGCAGAUUGAAAUGAAGCGACUGAAAAGCUGCAGAUGAGAGGUGGGGAAAUUAAUAAUGUCGUAGUAAUGGUAGUAAUGAGUGGCUGUGCAUGUGCUAAUUAGUUUGGAGCCCUCUCUCCAACUUCAUCGUGGUCCGCGUGCCAGUUUAAUCAGCUCGUCGCGAGCCGAGCAGCGGCAAGGAGCUCUCAGGUGAGCUCGGGCUCUGCUGCCCACCUGAGCUGAGUUCUGCUCAUUAACGACCGAGGGCUUCAGCAGGAGCUGCAGGGAUAAUUGGGCAGAUUGAGAGCCUUGAAAUAGAGGUAGGCUGCCUCCCCCAGCCCUUGGGCUGCAGGAUUCAGGCCAGGUGGGGCUUUCUCGUGCUGCUGGGAUGAGGAGGAGCUGCUCUCCAGCCUUGGAAAGCCCAGACCCGAGUGCCUGCUGCCAUCCCUGACAGCCUGACGGGUGGGUGGGCAUGCAGCUCAUGGAGCAGCAUCACCCAGCCCUGGGAUCUGGGCGUGAGGAGGAAGAGGGAGAGCACUGGGCAGCAUCCCGUGGCGUCUCGCAGGGCCCCAGCAGGCUGCUGGCUGCAGGCAUUUAUUUCCCGGGCUCUCUGGUUCCUGUUGCUCUGCAAGGCAAAUCCGCCGUCUCUGGUGAGAUGGCUUCUGACUGAUAUUUAUACAAGCAAAAGCAGGAUCAGGCCUGCCGAAUCGCAGCCUGCUUGUCCCCAUGGAAACAGAUGUGGGAUGCUGCAGAGCAGAUCUCGCAGCUCGAACUCUGCGCGUCGGCCCUCGUCCCCGGCCCCUCGCAGAAGAGCCCUCCAGCAGGAGGGGGGAGCCAGCCCUGAUAUAUCCAUUUUGUCUUUGGAGAGCGAGCCCCUUCUCUUUCGGGGGAAAAAAUGGAAAUGUAAUCAGAUCAGCUUGUAUAGUGCAAAUAGAAAAUCAGUUUUAAUAAAGCCAGAAGAAAUGCAAAGCAGCCGCUUGUGAUGGAAAUGGUGUUAAGUAGACACCUCUUUAAGAAAAAAGCAGCUCCGGGGAUGUUGAUCGGGGAGGCGUUCAGCCUUGGGCUCACUCCUGCAGCUUGCCAAGAGGCAGAACCAGCAGCCCUGGCAGGCGGGAAUGGC